GACGCUCCUAUCCAUUCAGUAACAUCCUCAUGUGGAGACAUUCCUGUCUUCAGAGCACCUGCUUGGUACCCAGACACCGUGGGGCUGAGAAAGUGUCCUUGAAAGGGUCUUGCGUGAGGAGAGCCCACUGCUGCGGUGAUUGUGUCACUCUUGUUGAGAGCAAGCCUCAGCCUCAGCUUUUGGAAGGAACCAAGCCUCAGAUCAGCUCGGAACCCUAUGGUGACUUCAUAUUGAAGUGGGACACACAAGAAGUUGGCAAUCUGCAGCCCAAAGGAGGGUCCUCACCAGAACCACACCAGGCUCAGUGGCUGGACUGUGACCCACACUGAUGAACGAAUCCUCCAGGAAUGAGACUCCUUUGGAGUUAUUGGCUGGUGAAAAUAAGCAAAGGACUGCAAAGAUCCACGGGUCAUGUGAGGCAGUCUGGUCUGCGGCAGCUGACAGCAGAGACUCCAGGAGGCCAAGGAAGGCACCCGCUCUCCUCCCACGGGUCUGGUGGGUCUAAUUUGCCUGAAUCCAGUGGAAGAUAAACAGGCAGUGGGUAUGGUGUGUGAAGCCAGAGGCCCACAUCCUGAGAACUGGGGCAUCACUGAUGCUCUCUGGGCCUCCCCUUCCUGUCUGGGGGCGACUUUAACACCCACCUCAGAGUGAUGUUUGGAGGAUUAAAGGAACAUGACUUAGCACAGUGCCUGGCACACAGUGGGUGCUCAGGGCAUGUUCAUUCCCCCUCUUCCCCUUCCCUCUCCCUUACUCUUCCUCUGUUUGCACUGCCUCCAGGAUGAGGCUGUCACCUCAGGGACUCUCCAGCACUUGAGGCCUCUCUCUCCCUCCCCACCUUCCUGAGCAGUCACAGAGUGCUGCAGAUGCUCCUGCCCUUGCACCUGGCUUCCCUGCUUCUUCCCCAAGCAUGCUGCUGUGCCAGGUCUCUUGUCUCUGGUCUGUAUUCCAG
ensembl:lncRNA